rnacentral:pre_miRNA from 1 species
GCUUGUGUGUGGAUGGUGUUCAGUACUAAGGACAGAUAUGUUUACCUGUGUGUGGACAGUAUUAAGCACUAAGAACAGAUGUGUUUACCU